GACGAACGCUGGCGGCGUGCUUAACACAUGCAAGUCGAGCGAUGAAGUUUCUUCGGAAAUGGAUUAGCGGCGAACGGGUGAGGAACACGUGAAGAAUCUGCCCUCCACUUCGGGAUAACACAGGGAAACCUGUGCUAAUACCGAAUAUCGAAACAUAAGUAGCAUCACUGAGUUUUGAAAGAAUUUCGGUGGAGGAUGACUUCGCGGCCUAUCAGCUAGUUGGUGAGGUAAUGGCUCACCAAGGCAACGACGGGUAGCCGGCCUGAGAGGGCGACCGGCCACACUGGGACUGAGACACGGCCCAGACUCCUACGGGAGGCAGCAGUGGGGAAUAUUGGGCAAUGGAGGAAACUCUGACCCAGCGACGCCGCGUGCGGGAUGAAGGCCUUCGGGUUGUAAACCGCUUUCAGUAGGGAAGAAGCGAAAGUGACGGUACCUACAAAAGAAGCACCGGCUAACUAUGUGCCAGCCGCCGCCGUAA
rnacentral:rRNA from 1 species